rnacentral:sRNA from 1 species
UAAGUACAGAAUUUAGCUCAUUUAUGG